AAGGGUCACUAGGGGUGGUUUUGCUGAGAGUCCCGCGGCGGCGGGGCAACCCUCAUCACCUGAUCUGGGUAAUACCAGCGUAGGGAAGUGACACGGACAAAGA
rnacentral:ncRNA from 2 species